rfam:Schistosoma margrebowiei strain Zambia genome assembly, scaffold: SMRZ_scaffold0000146
GCACCGCUGAGGAGUCCAAUACAGGAACGAAACGGCCGUCCAGUGC